rnacentral:rRNA from 1 species
UACGGAGGGUGCAAGCGUUGUUCGGAUUUUACUGGGCGUAAAGCGCGCGCAGGUGGAUGGACAAGUCGGAAGUGAAAUCUUGAGGCUCAACCUCGAGGCUGCUCCCGAAACUGUUCGUCUGGGGACUGGUAGAGGCUGGUAGAAUUCCCGGUGUAGCGGUGGAAUGCGUAGAGAUCGGGAAGAAUACCCGUGGCGAAGGCGGCCAGCUGGGCCAGGUCCGACACUGAGGCGCGAAAGCGUGGGUAGCAAACAGG